UUAUUAGAUCCAGAACCAACCCAGGCUCCGCCUGGUUGCGUGGUGAAUCAUGAUAACUGAAUGAAUCGUAUGGCACCUGCCGGCGAUAGAUCAUUCAAGUUUCUGACCUAUCAGCUUCCGACGGUAGGGUAUUGGCCUACCGUGGCUUUCACGGGUAACGGGGAAUCUGGGUUCGAUUCCGGAGAGGCAGCCUGAGAAACGGCUACCACAUCUAAGGAAGGCAGCAGGCGCGCAAAUUACCCAAUCUCGGCACGGGGAGGUAGUGACGAAAAAUAACGGUGCAGCGCUCCUACGAGUGUCUGUAAUCGGAAUGAGUCAGGUCUAAAUUCUCGAACGAGGAUCUAUUGGAGGGCAAGUCUGGUGCCAGCAGCCGCGGUAAUUCCAGCUCCAAUAGCGCAUAUUAAAGUUGUUGCGGUUAAAAAGCUCGUAGUUGGAUUUCUGCCAAGGACGACCGGUCCACCCUCUGGGUGAGCAUCUGGCUCGGCCUGGGCAUCUUCUUGGAGAACGUAGCUGCACUUGACUGUGUGGUGCGGUAUCCUGGACUUUUACUUUGAGGAAAUUAGAGUGUUUCAAGCA
rnacentral:rRNA from 1 species